UACGUAGGGUGCGAGCGUUAAUCGGAAUUACUGGGCGUAAAGCGUGCGCAGGCGGUUACAUAAGACAGAUGUGAAAUCCCCGGGCUCAACCUGGGAACUGCAUUUGUGACUGCAUAGCUUGAGUGCGGCAGAGGGGGAUGGAAUUCCGCGUGUAGCAGUGAAAUGCGUAGAUAUGCGGAGGAACACCGAUGGCGAAGGCAAUCCCCUGGGCCUGCACUGACGCUCAUGCACGAAAGCGUGGGGAGCAAACAGG
rnacentral:rRNA from 1 species